rnacentral:tRNA from 1 species
UAGGUAAUAGUUAAAUAACAUAUAACAUAGGUUUGUGGUACCUAAGAAGACUUCUGUCUUACCUGG